AUUAUGUACAAAAAAGUCAUUGCAAUAAAUCUCAAGUUAUUAAAGUCGGUGAACAAAUAAGUACUGACAAUUCUUUGACUGGAGUGGAAGAUGUUAGUGUCUUGAACCAACAUGAAACAAGUGAACUUAGCUGAGAAUAAUGGUAGUUUAAAAAUAAUGCAGCAUUGGCUAGGAUUGUUCUUAGGUCACAAAAACAACCUUACAAAAGUUUUUGCUGUUGUCGCUGGUUUUAGAGAGUACUUUCGUGAAUGAAGAUAAAAAGUCAUUUAUGUUAUUUUUUAAAAGCCAAGACAUAAUAUUGUUAAUCCUCAUACCAAUUACUAAAAAACUUUAUAAAUAUU